GGAAACAUUCUCUGGUAUUACACUUUAAAAGUCAUUCUCAUCCUGGUAGACAAGCUUUCUGCAAGUUACGACUCCCUUUGCCGUUGGUGGAUGGAGAUCGUGUUGCAGACGCCAUAAAUGUUCCAGGGUUUAUUACAGAGCCUUUAUAAAAACAUGGCACUCCUUGUUUUCAACCGCCACCAUCCCCUCACCUCGACCCAGGAGCAACUGUGCAACAGGCAGAAUAUCUUCUGCCAGGACGACUGGUGACAUCAGUGGAGGUGGAUUAUGAGCUGGUUUUCUAAUCAACAUGAGGGGAAAUUCACCUCUGAGCAGAGGAGCAGCACAAAGGCCUAUACAAAACUUAGGUCGCUGUUAAGACCUUUUUUAAGGUGGGACUUAGGUGGUUCAUAGUUCCAUACUGUCCUUUUGCUAGAGGAAAAUCUCAAGUCAAAGGGCUGGAUAAAAACCCACCCAGAGUAAAGACUCCCAUUGACUUCAAUGGGCGAUAGAUCAGAAAACUUGGGGGUGCAGGCUCUGAGAAUGCACAGCGCUCCCUCUCUCCUAGGAAUUUCAGGAAGAACUGUGCAAUGGUCCCAACGCAUGCCAGCAUGGCUUACCAGGACCAAGCAGGAUUCCUCUACUGGACCGCAGAUUGCGCAACAAAUACAGCUCUGACUAUCCUUUUGAUUCAUUCCCAUUGUAACUCCAAAACAGCUACAAGGGUGAAACUCUGAUUGAAUGGGUCCAAUAACAUUUUUACGAUGAAAGACACCUGUGGUGUAUCAUGUGUGUGUCAUACCGUGUGAGGCUGAAAACAAUUAUAUCACUUGAUGGAGUGAUGUGCACAGCAAAAUAUGUUUUGAAAUGGAUUAAGAUCUAAAGAAAAAGGGUGUCUCAGUUUCUCCCGGCAGUCUAAGAUACUGUAUAAAAGUGCUCACGGCUCAGGUUUCUUUACCACUUCUCUUGACUUCUCCUCCUCAGUAACCUGGGUUUACCGCCAAGGCAGAAAGAUGACUUUCCACCACCAAAAGCUUUCUCACCAUUGGGGCUGUGACCCUUGCAGUUCCGGGAGCUGGGGCGGCUAUAGAGGCCAUUACGACUGCUAUCGGCCAUGGGGUUAUUCUAGGCCAUAUGGAUGGGGGUGGGGCUACAACGAUGGUUGCUACUACCCUUAUUCUUCCCGAUGGGGCCAUGGCUAUGGCGGCUCUGGUUAUGGUGGCUGUGGUUAUGGCUAUGGCGGCCAUGGCUAUGGAAAGUGUUGGCCAUGUUAAAUCCAGCAGGAAUAGCCCUGGAACCAGGAACAAGCAGGAAACAAAAAGCAAGAUACGGCUUCACGGCUAAGCUUAUGGGCAAUGGCUUUCAGAAAUGCUGAUUCCCACAACUCCCCUCAGAGCUGUGCGGGUUCAUCAGUUCUGUAAAUUUGCCCCUUAUCUAUAUUUCCCAAGUUACACUUCUCAUAUUCUCUGCUUCUUCUUUCAUUAUCCGAAGGCCUGAAUCUCAAUUCCAUGAAGGCCCCUUUAGGCCAAUCUGACAGUGUCAGUGAAACAGAGGUCUUAAGGUUGGGACAAAUAACAUUUACACCCACUUGAAGGCUUCUUACAGAGUGUGCAACGGGGUCUUACUGGCAAAAGAGAAUUAUGCCUUGGUGGUUUAAGCCUUUUCCUGAAUAUAUGUCAUUUCUUUUUUCAUUUAACUGUGCUAGAGAAAAUGUACCAUGGAGAAGCAGCUUAAUGCUCUGCUCAUGUUGGGAUUUGUCUCAUCUGACCCUGACUGGGAUGAAACAAAUACAUUAAAAUAGUUGCAGACAGGACUUGAUUAUCAAACUCUACAGCGGCCAGGAAGAAAGAAGAACAUCUGGUGUGAAAUCUAUCAUCUUGGAAUCGGUGAUUCACUGAAGACCAUCUCAAAAAUCUGGAAAUAUAUUCUUUUUUCUCUGCAUUGUGUCUGUCUGUUCCCAUGUAUUCCUUUUCUUAUACACAGUAAACUUAUUUUGCAUCACAA